CUACGGGUUGCUGCAGUGGGGAAUAUUGCGCAAUGGGCGAAAGCCUGACGCAGCAACGCCGCGUGAGUGAUGAAGGCCUUCGGGUCGUAAAGCUCUGUCGGGAGGGAAGAACACCUUCGGGUCUGACGGUACCUCCCGAGGAAGCACAGGCUAACUCCGUGCCAGCAGCCGCGGUAAUACGGAGUGUGCAAGCGUUGUUCGGAAUUACUGGGCGUAAAGCGCGCGUAGGCGGCUUGAUAAGUCAGAUGUGAAAUCCCUCGGCUCAACCGAGGAGCUGCAUUUGAAACUGUCAGGCUUGAGUACGGGAGGGGGAAGCGGAAUUCCCAGUGUAGAGGUGAAAUUCGUAGAUAUUGGGAGGAACACCAGCGGCGAAGGCGGCUUCCUGGACCGAUACUGACGCUGAGGCGCGAAAGCGUGGGGAUCAAACAGGAUUAGAUACCCUGGUAGUC
rnacentral:rRNA from 1 species